AUACGGAGGGAGCUAGCGUUGUUCGGAAUUACUGGGCGUAAAGUCGCGCGUAGGCGGCUUUUUAAGUCAGAGGUGAAAGCCCGGGGCUCAACCCCGGAAUUGCCUUUGAAACUGGAAAGCUAGAAUCUUGGAGAGGUCAGUGGAAUUCCGAGUGUAGAGGUGAAAUUCGUAGAUAUUCGGAAGAACACCAGUGGCGAAGGCGACUGACUGGACAAGUAUUGACGCUGAGGUGCGAAAGCGUGGGGAGC
rnacentral:rRNA from 1 species